CACGGGGGGAGCAAGCGUUGUUCGGAUUCAUUGGGCGUAAAGGGCUCGUAGGUGGCUUUGUAAGUCGGAGGUGAAAUCCCACGGCUCAACCGUGGACACGCCUUCGAAACUGUGAAGCUUGAGGCUGGGAGAGGAGAUCGGAAUUCCUGGUGUAGCGGUGGAAUGCGCAGAUAUCAGGAGGAAUACCCAUAGCGAAGGCAGCUCGCUGGGACGUUACUGACGCUGAGGCGCGAAAGCGUGGGGAGCGAACAGG
rnacentral:rRNA from 1 species